rnacentral:rRNA from 1 species
ACGCCUUAUACAUGCAAGUCGAACGAAGUAGCAAUACUUAGUGGCAGACGGGUGAGUAACAUGUAGGUAUCUUCCCUUUGGUGAGGAAUAACACGAGGAAACUUGUGCUAAUACCUCAUAAGUCUUUACGGAGAAAGCUUUAUGCGCCGAAGGAUGAGCCUGCACUUGAUUAGUUUGUUGGUGGGGUAAUGGCCUACCAAGACUUUGAUCUAUAGCUGAUCUGAGAGGAUGAUCAGCCACAUUGGGACUGAGACACGGCCCAAACUCCUACGGGAGGCAGCAGUAGGGAAUAUUGCACAAUGGAGGAAACUCUGAUGCAGCGAUGCCGCGUGAGUGAAGAAGGCCUUUGGGUUGUAAAGCUCUUUCGUCGGGGAAGAAAAUGACUGUACCCGAAUAAGAAGGUCCGGCUAACUUCGUGCCAGCAGCCGCGGUAAUACGAAGGGACCUAGCGUAGUUCGGAAUUACUGGGCUUAAAGAGUUCGUAGGUGGUUAAAAAAGUUGGUGGUGAAAUCCCAGAGCUUAACUCUGGAACUGCCAUCAAAACUUUUUAGCUAGAGUAUGAUAGAGGAAAGCAGAAUUUCUAGUGUAGAGGUGAAAUUCGUAGAUAUUAGAAAGAAUACCAAUUGCGAAGGCAGCUUUCUGGAUCAUUACUGACGCUGAGGAACGAAAGCAUGGGUAGCGAAGAGGAUUAGAUACCCUCGUAGUCCAUGCCGUAAACGAUGUGUGUUAGACGUUGGAAAUUUAUUUUCAGUGUCGCAGCGAAAGCAUUAAACACACCGCCUGGGGA